rnacentral:rRNA from 1 species
UACGUAGGGGGCUAGCGUUGUCCGGAUUUAUUGGGCGUAAAGAGCGUGUAGGCGGCCAGGUAGGUCUGCUGUGAAAACUCGAGGCUCAACCUCGAGACGUCGGCGGAAACCAUCUGGCUAGAGUCCGGAAGAGGAGAGUGGAAUUCCUGGUGUAGCGGUGAAAUGCGCAGAUAUCAGGAGGAACACCGGUGGCGAAGGCGGGUCUCUGGGCAGUAACUGACACUGAGGAGCGAAAGCGUGGGGAGCGAACAGG